GUUUCAAUUCCUCAUAGGCUCGGCGUUAUAGUUUCUCCAGGCGCUAAUGAUGUAACAUUAG
rnacentral:sRNA from 1 species